AUCCAGGAAGCAAGGGAGACUGGCAGCUCCAUGGCUCCACCAUGCCCAGCCAUGUCCCCUUCUGUGUGGAGGCAUGAGAGAACGCAGGUGGAACAGAUGGGCAGCUUACAGGACACACAGGUACAGGCUAGAGGAAGGGGCUGCUGGCUCACACAAUCUGAAGGUUUUCCACAUGCAGGCCAGGAGGGAGCACCCGCUGUGUGGAGCAGGUCAAGCACCCAUGCUUCCGUUGGUCCAACAAUGCUAACAGUGAGCCCCAAGGCCCCCAGACAAGCUGAGCUCCAGACGUGUGCCACUGGCAGAUGGCUCUGUUAGCUGAGAUCUGUGCUCCACCCUCUCUGCUUCACCUGCAACCUCCUCCAACCCUCAGGACAGACAGCCUCAGAGGUUCCAGGGUAUUCAGAGCCGCAGGGGCAAGGGUGUUGGGUGUUUUGUCCCAGCAACAAGAAAAAAGUAACCAAGACACUGAGACACAGUACUAACCCCACAGUUUAACGAAGGAAAUAUUUCAUUGGGACCUCAGGUUCUGAGGACUCAGUCCACGACUGGCUGGCUCACAAACAAAACCAUCAUGGUAAAGGGAUGCAACAGAGCAAAGGUGCUCGUUUCAAGGUGACUGGGAAGCAGAGCUGUGGAAAAUCACAACAGAAGACAGGGCCAGGGCGACAGACCCUUAGGCCAACCCACCAGGAUCUACCCAGAUAUACCCAGAACUGUGUUCCUCCUUCUGGUAACCGCUUCCAGGAGUUCACCAAAGCAACCAAGUUCCCAUUCUACCCUCAGUGUCACAGUAGCUGAGGCAGAGGAUUGAAAGUUCAUGUCUAGCCUUGCAAUUUAGUGACUUCCUGAGACCUUGUCUCAGAAUCAAAAAUUUAAAAUCAGCUG